rfam:Nelumbo nucifera unplaced genomic scaffold scaffold00098, whole genome shotgun sequence
GUUUGGGUGGUGUAGUUGGUUAUCAUGCCAGUCUCACACAUUAGAGGUCCCUGGUUUGAACCCGGGCUCAAGCA